rnacentral:lncRNA from 1 species
CGGGGACAAGCCAUUCCUCUCAGGCAGCCCUUGUCCCCCUCCUGGCUCCAGAAGGGCAGCAUAGGCCCAGAAGCUGCAGGCGUGGACAGAAACGAGGUCUCCCGGGCUCCGGGUGCGGAAGGCUCAGUGGAAACUUUCUGAGUGGUUGUCUUCAAAAGGCCCACCUAGCACAGGACUCCAGAGAAUGCUUCGUUGAGCCCGGAGCAGCUGUCCAGACCUGGUGUCCAGAGUGAUCCAGCAGCUCCACGCAGCAAGCUCCAGAGAUCAGCCACAGACUGGUGCCCCCCCACCCCAGGCAGCAAUCGGCUGCAUCAUGGCCUCACUGGGGCACAGAUCAAGGUGAAGCAGGAUAAGGAAGAGAUCUUCCCCAGUGGAAGAGGAUGGAGAAGACCCUCACGGUGUAGCGGCUUCCCCAGAGGUUCCCACACCGCCUUGUGCCCCAGUGGGCUUUGAAGCCACAAGAGUCCUCUUUGCUAAGGAUGAGAAAAGGCUGGAAAGGAAAGGGAAAGUCUGGCGAAACCACCUGAUAUUUGCUUUAAAGUAUUUCAGGUCUGGAGCUGGACCUCAGAGGUAGGCACCUGCCUGGUGUCACCCCCACCCCUGUGAAAAUGAAACUGUCUCAGAGACCUGUGUGGAGACAUACCAGUCCAUCACUAGUCGCACCGCACCUUCCCAUCUGGACCCCAAUUUCUCAUUCUGACAGGAGGCCACUGCACCUCAGAUAUGUCUGAAGCAGGGUGCCACCCUGGGGGAGGGCAGAAGCCCAAUGGUGGCCACAAAGCAGGAGCGGGCGUUAACUGCAUGCUUUUUAAGUUUCAUAGGUUGCAUAUCUGUGUGUGUGUGUGUUGUGUAUGCAUAGCUAUACACAUCUGUGAAGUCCUGAGGUUGACACUGAGUGUCCUCAAUUGCUCUCCACUUUUUUUUUU